GGAGCUGUAGCUCAGGAGUAGAGAAUCUGCUUUGCAUGCAGAAGGUCCUGGGUUCAAAUCCCAGGUUACAUACGCUUCA